GGAAGAGCUCUGGAUUUUUCCUGACUAUGAAGAGACUUUUUUAUGCUAGAGAGCAUGCAUAGCAGAGAACAAGACGGAUCCUCUUACUUUCCAGUUUUCUAACAAAUCAGGAAGAAAAAAAAAUUGAGAAAAAUACAGCCAUGGUUCAUUACUUCUCCACUCUCAUCUGGUUCAGAUAUGGAUUCAACAGGAUUUAGUAAAAGAACAAGGAAGGGUGAAAAGUUCUCCUCUGAGCAUAAAGGGCUUGUUGGGUCACAGCAGAUUAUCAACUGAGAAAACAAGUGGAAGGAAGGUGGGAUAAGAACUGAGUUCCUGCCUCUGAACACUGGAUGAUGAUAAAUAACUUUGUUGGAGCCUUACCUUCAAAGAUCAGUUCUGUGUAGAAGACAAUGCCAAAGACUGAAUACUCAGUUUCAAAAAGCAGCUGCAUAAGGAAACCCACCUGUCAUGAUGCAAAUUGCCUUAUGUUCUCAUAUCCUGAAGAAAUCAGUUUAAACUCAAAUUCAUUCAUCCUGUUGUAGUUCUGGUUGUCCUUCAGUAUUGUAAUGAUGAAAGGAUCUAAAUUAUAUAAAAAUCAAAUACAAGAGUUUAUAUAUUCAUUUUGU